GACGAACGCUGGCGGCGCGCUUAACACAUGCAAGUCGAACGGAAAGGCCUGCUUUCCCUUGUGGAUUGCGGGUACUCGAGUGGCGAACGGGUGAGUAACACGUGAGUGAUCUGCCCCCAACUUGGGUAUAAGCCUGGGAAACUGGGUCUAAUUCCCGAUAGGACUGCAGGGUGGUGCCUGUGGUGGAAAACGAUUUUCUAGUGGUUGGGGAUGAGCUCGCGGCCUAUCAGCUUGUUGGUGGGGUAAUGGCCUACCAAGGCGGCGACGGGUAGCCGGCCUGGGAGGGUGGACGGCAACAUUGGGACUGAGAUACGGCCCAGACUCCUACGGGAGGCAGCAGUGGGGAAUACUGCACAAUGGGCGGAAGCCUGAUGCAGCGACGCCGCGUGGGGGAUGACGGCCUUCGGGUUGUAAACUCCUUUCGACCGCGAGGAAGCCACCUGGUUGGAAGGGUGGUGACGGUAGUGGUAGAAGAAGCACCGGCUAACUACGUG
rnacentral:rRNA from 1 species